GUGAGGAAUUUUCCGCAAUGGGCGAAAGCCUGACGGAGCAAUGCCGCGUGAAGGAUGAAGGCCUAUGGGUUGUAAACUUCUUUUCUCAGAAAAGAAUUAUGACGGUAUCUGAGGAAUAAGCAUCGGCUAACUCUGUGCCAGCAGCCGCGGUAAGACAGAGGAUGCAAGCGUUAUCCGGAAUGAUUGGGCGUAAAGCGUCUGUAGGUUGCUUAAAAAGUAUUCUGUCAAAGAUUAGGGCUUAACCCUAGAUAGGCAGAAUAAACUUUUAAGCUAGAGUUUGGUAGAGGCAGAGGGAAUUCCCGGUGGAGCGGUGAAAUGCGUAGAUAUCGGGAGGAACACCAAAGGCGAAGGCACUCUGCUGGGCCAAUACUAACACUGAGAGACGAAAGCGAGGGGAGCAAAUGGGAUUAGAAACCCUAGUAGUCC
rnacentral:rRNA from 1 species